rnacentral:rRNA from 1 species
AACCUACGGGACGCAGCAGUGGGGAAUAUUGCACAAUGGGGGAAACCCUGAUGCAGCGACGCCGCGUGAGUGAAGAAGUAUCUCGGUACGUAACGCUCUAUCAGCAGGGAAGAAAAAAAGUCUUUGGCUUUGGACGGUACCUGACUAAGAAGCACCGGCUAACUACGUGCCAGCAGCCGCCGUAAUACGUAGGGGGCAAGCGUUAUCCGGAUUUACUGGGUGUAUAGGGAGCGUAGACGGCAGCGCACGUCUGGAGUGAAAUGC